CUACGGGAGGCAGCAGUGGGGAAUAUUGGACAAUGGGGGCAACCCUGAUCCAGCCAUACCGCGUGUGUGAAGAAGGCCUUCGGGUUGUAAAGCACUUUCAGUGGGGAGGAAAAGGCUCCGGCUAAUAUCCGGGGCUCGUGACGCUACCCACAGAAGAAGCACCGGCAAACUCCGUGCCAGCAGCCGCGGUAAUACGGAGGGUGCGAGCGUUAAUCGGAAUUACUGGGCGUAAAGCGCGCGUAGGCGGUUUGGUAAGCUGGAUGUGAAAGCCCUGGGCUCAACCUGGGAACUGCAUCCAGAACUGCCAGGCUAGAGUAUGGUAGAGGGUAGUGGAAUUUCCGGUGUAGCGGUGAAAUGCGUAGAUAUCGGAAGGAACACCAGUGGCGAAGGCGGCUGCCUGGACCAAUACUGACGCUGAGGUGCGAAAGCGUGGGGAGCAAACAGGAUUAGAAACCCGUGUAGUCC
rnacentral:rRNA from 1 species